rnacentral:misc_RNA from 1 species
AAGUCGUAACAAGGUUUCCGUAGGUGAACCUGCGGAAGGAUCAUUACCUUUGGUUGUGAAUUGUGGGAAACCGCGAUUCUACAACUUCAACCCUUGAUUUUUGAGUACCUUUGUUUCCUUGGUAGGGCAACCUACCAAUGGACCUUUUCAAACCACUUGUAAUUGAAAUCAGCGUCAGAAUAUAUGAAUUAUUACAACUUUCAACAACGGAUCUCUUGGUUCUG